rnacentral:rRNA from 1 species
UACGUAGGGUGCAGGCGUUAAUCGGAAUUACUGGGCGUAAAGCGUGCGUUAGACGGUUACAUAAGUCGGGUGUGAAAGCCCCUGGGCUUAACCUGGGAAUGGCAUUUGGGACUGCAAGGCUUGAGUGCGGCAGAGGGAGACUGGAAGUUCCUGGUGUAGCAGUGAAAUGCGUAGAUAUCAGGAGGAAUACCGAUGGCGAAGGCAGGUCUCUGGGCUGACACGUGACGCUCAUGCACGAAAGCGUGGGGGAGCAAACAGG